GCUAAGCCCUAAACAUUGAUUGACCCUAUACAAACUUUCCGCCAGAGAACUACAAGUGAAAAACUUAAAACUCAAAGGACUUGACGGUGCCCCACAUCGGCCUAGAGGAGCCUGUCCUGUAAUCGAUACUCCCCGCUCCACCCGACCUUAACUAGUACAUAUACCAGCCUAUAUACCGCCGUCGAUCAGUCUACCCCAUGAGGGUCCAACAGUAGACACAAUAGCCAAGUCGCUAGUACGUCAGGUCAAGGUGUAGCAAAUGUUAAGGAAGAGAUUGGCUACAUUUUUUAUGAUAAAAAACACGAAUAACACCAUGAAACAGUGCAUGAAGGUGAAUUUAGUAGUAAAACAAACAAGAGAGUUUAUUUUAACAACGCCCUGGGACGCGUACACACCGCCCGUCACCCUCCUCAACAACACAAAUUUUAUCUCUAUAAACAAAAAAGUUAUAUAGAGGAGGC
rnacentral:rRNA from 1 species